CAUGUGAGAACCAUGUUCGCCGUAUAUCUAAGGUUUCCGACGCCAGGUCAUUCCGCGUCGGGUUAGUCGGGUCCUUAGCCGAGGCCGAGAGGCGUAGGUGAUGGACAUCGGGUCAACAUUCCCGAACCACUUGAGAGGAGCGAUGGGGGGACGCAGCGAGGUAGGCCAGCCCACGAUUGGUUGUGUGGGUGCACCAAAUGUCAGACGUUGAGAGCUGUAGGAAAAUCCGCAGCUUGAGUUGAGAUCUGGUGGCGUGCCCUUGAGGUAGAAGUGAGUUGAGCCUUGCUGCCAAGAAAAGCCCCUAAGCGUUGAGUCUUGAGUGCCCGUACCGCAAACCGACACUGGUAGAUGAGUAGAGUAUACUAAGGCGAACGGGAGAACCCUCGUUAAGGAACUAGGCAACAUAGCCCCGUAACUUCGGGAGAAGGGGUGCCUUUCGACGUGAAAGUUAAUCUUGAGCGUUGAGAGGUCGCAGUGAAAUGGCUCUAGUGACUGGUUAACAAAACCACAGGUCUCUGCAAAGUCGAAAGACGAUGUAUAGGGGCUGACGCCUGCCCAGUGCCGGAAGGUUAAAGGGAGAGGUUAGAGCGCGAGCUCGAAGCUUUGAACUGAAGCCCCGGUGAACGGCGGCCGUAACUAUAACGGUCCUAAGGUAGCGAAAUUCCUUGUCGGGUAAGUUCCGACCCGCACGAAUGGCGUAACAACUGGAGCACUGUCUCAACGAGGGACCCGGUGAAAUUGAAAUGGCUGUGAAGAUGCGGCCUACCCGCAGCAGGACAAAAAGACCCCGUGGAGCUUUACUGCAACUUGGCAUUGAAUUUGGGCAUUGUUUGUGUAGGAUAGGUGGGAGGCUGAGAAGCUAGUGCGCCAGCAUUGGUGGAGCCGAUGGUGAAAUACCACCCUGAUCAUGUUUAGGUUCUAACCCCACGCCAUAAACUGGGUGGGGGACCGUGCCAGGUGGGCAGUUUGACUGGGGCGGUCGCCUCCUAAAAGGUAACGGAGGCGCCCAAAGGUUCCCUCAGACUGAAUGGAAACCAGUCGAAGAGUGUAAAGGCAUAAGGGAGCUUGACUGCAAGACCAACGCGUCGAGCAGAGACGAAAGUCGGGCUUAGUGAUCCCACGGUACUGAGUGGAAGGGCCGUGGCUUACCGGAUAAAAGCUACCCCGGGGAUAACAGGCUGGUGAAGUCCAAGAGUCCAUAUCGACGACUUCGCUCGGCACCUCGAUGUCGGCUCAUCGCAUCCUGGGGCUGGACAAGGUCCCAAGGGUCGGGCUGUUCGCCCGUUAAAGCGGUACGCGAGCUGGGUUCAGACCGUCGUGAGACAGGUCGGUCUCUAUCCGCUGUGGGCGCAAGGGGUUUGAGAGGAGCUGUCCCUAGUACGAGAGGACCGGGAUGGACAGACCACUAGUGUGUCAGUUGUCGUGCCAACGGCAUAGCUGAGUAGCUAAGUCUGGCAGGGAUAACCGCUGAAAGCAUCUAAGCGGGAAGCUCGCCUCAAGAUAAGACCCCUGUAAUCCUGAAAAGGAGUAAGAUCGCAGGGAGACUACCUGCUUGAUAGGCGACAUGUGGAAGUGCAGCAAUGCAUUAAGCUAAGUCGUACUAAUGAUCGAGGGCUUCGGUA
rnacentral:rRNA from 1 species